GAUGAACGCUAGCUACAGGCUUAACACAUGCAAGUCGAGGGGCAGCAUGGUCUUAGCUUGCUAAGGCCGAUGGCGACCGGCGCACGGGUGAGUAACACGUAUCCAACCUGCCGUCUACUCUUGGACAGCCUUCUGAAAGGAAGAUUAAUACAAGAUGGCAUCAUGAGUCCGCAUGUUCACAUGAUUAAAGGUAUUCCGGUAGACGAUGGGGAUGCGUUCCAUUAGAUAGUAGGCGGGGUAACGGCCCACCUAGUCUUCGAUGGAUAGGGGUUCUGAGAGGAAGGUCCCCCCACAUUGGAACUGAGACACGGUCCAAACUCCUACGGGAGGCAGCAGUGAGGAAUAUUGGUCAAUGGACGAGAGUCUGAACCAGCCAAGUAGCGUGAAGGAUGAAGGUUCUAUGGAUUGUAAACUUCUUUUAUACGGGAAUAACGAAUCCACGUGUGGAUUUUUGCAUGUACCGUAUGAAUAAGGAUCGGCUAACUCCGUGCCAG
rnacentral:rRNA from 1 species